AAACAAGUACAAGGUGGUGAAGGUGGAGGACAAUUUUGUGGAGCUGGAGACCAUGGAUGGAAUCCCUCUGACUUCCAGGACACCCUACGCUUCAGUGAAGCCAGUUCGUAUCAGGUCCCAGACAGGCCACCCCAUUGAGGAGACUGUAGAGGUUUCCUCUGACAGCUCUAUGUCGGGGAGCGACACCCGUGAGGUGACAUGCACUGUACCUCCUGGCACACUGUCCCCACAAGAAGAGACCGGACAGUCUUAUGGU